GCCCGCGCGGCAGCAGCCGGGCCUGAUUAGGGCCCCUCCCGCUGGCGGCCGCGGGCGCUUUGAAGUGAGCCGCUGCCGGGCCGCUCCGGCCGCCUGGCCGUCCCUGCCGCCAGGCCGUCGGUCCGGGGCUGGCGGCGGGGCCGGCGGCGCGUGUUUAUCCAGGUACCACCAGGAGCCCUGGCAUCAUCAGAAUCUUAUUAGAAAUAUAGAAUCUCAGGCCCCUCCCCAGACCUGCAGAGUGAAAUCUGUAUUUUAAAAGAUCCCUGGUGAAUUGGACACGCAAUAAAGUUUGAGGACGCUAACAUCUGGUUAAAAGUCUGCUAUUGCCACUGUGUGGGAACCUGUCUUUGGGAAGCUGCACCUCCUUCAUCGGAUUGGCAAGAGCUGAGCCUUCUCCAUCAGACCAGCUAUGCUUCCAGAGCAGAGGCUGUGCUUCUGGGAUCUUCCCGAGGACAGGGAUUGAUCCUCCCCAAUCAAACUGGGAAUCUGGCAGAAGCAGAGGUCGUUCUUGGUCGCAGGCCGGAAGCUCGCCUGAAGCUUGUGGUGCCACCCCCGUCUGACUGGCAGUCCCCAGGAUCCCCUGUGAAACUUGGCUGGCUUUGGGGUCGAGAGCCACCUGCAAGGAGAGGUAUCUGUUCGCAUUUUCCAAGAGGAUGGAGAAGCCAGAGCGGAGAGAUGGGCCUGUGUUGUGAUUCUGGCCAGUGAAGCAUGAGAAAAAAUCAGGGAAGGGGCCCUCCUUGGCUUAAAAUGAGGCUCAAGGUUAACAGGAUAUCUCCUUUUUCCUGCUUUGGCUAUUACUGUGUGAGGUCAUGAUACUUGGCGCAGCUGCAGCCAUUCUGUAACCAUGAGGUGACAGGUCUCUAAGGGUGGCAGAGCAGAACCAGCAGAAACAUGGUGGUUGGAAGUGGUGAUGCACUUGAACCAAUGAACUGACCAAACCCAGAAGGCCCACCCUUUGGACUCAUUGGCCUGUGAGAUGACACAUUUUUCUUGCUGUGUCUCCUAAUGUCUGGCUUAAUAGAAGACAGCUGGGUUCUCAUAUUGGCUUCUGCGUUCAAUUUGUUCCAAUAUCCCAUGUCAUGAAGCCCCUGGAAAACUCCGCUGUGCAAAUCCUGGGAGAACGCGAGUGAGAAAAGCACCGGCCAUCGCGGGAUUUGUAUUAGUUUUCUGUGGCUGCUGUAACAAAUGACUGUAACCUUGGUGACUGACAGCAGAAAUGUAUUCUCACAGUUCUGGAGGCCGCGAGCCUGACGUCCAGGAGUUACCAGAGCUGUGCUGUUCCCAGAAACUCUAGGGGAGAACCUGGCCCUUCCCUCUGCUGGCUUCUGGUGGCUGUCCAUGUCCGUAGGCUUGUGGCUGUGUCACUUCAUUCUCUGCCUCCAUUUUCAUAGCACUGUGUUUAUCUUAUGACAUUUGUCAUUGGAUUCAGGGCCCACACAGAUCAUCUGGGCUUAUCUCCUCAACUCAAAAUCCUUAAUUGUAUCUGCAAAGACUUUUUUUUUUUUUUUUUUUGCAAAGAAGUUUGUAUUCAGUUUCUGGGGAUUAGGACAUGGGCCUAUCAUUUUGGGGACCACCAUUCAACCCACUACAGUAUUAUUACAAAAAUAAUUCAGCCUGUGGAACCCCUGAAAGAGUUGUGGGGACCCCUGGGGUCAGACUUUGGAUCUGUGACUUCCACACAUAUAUAAGUAGGCAGAUGGUGGAAGGAGGGCCAGAUACACGUAGCCUAAUAAUCCAAUGAAAAUAAAAUUUCUAGAUAGAGUCCUAGAGGGAAGAUUCCAGCAAAGGGGAAUGAGAGGUGUCCAGUGUGUGAGAGAGGACCAGGGCCAGUGGAAGACCACAGAUUGGGGAGGAAGAUGGCAGGCCAAGGGCUUCUAAGUACAGGAAUGCCUAGUUCGGGGUUGUUCCUGUGUGGUACCAUGCUAUGACCCCCCCCCCCCCACCACCC